rnacentral:rRNA from 1 species
CACGUAGGGUGCGAGCGUUGUCCGGAAUUAUUGGGCGUAAAGAGCUCGUAGGCGGUGUGUCGCGUCGGCCGUGAAAACCUGCAGCUUAACUGUGGGCGUGCGGUCGAUACGGGCAUCACUGGAGUUCGGCAGGGGAGACUGGAAUUCCUGGUGUAGCGGUGAAAUGCGCAGAUAUCAGGAGGAACACCGGUGGCGAAGGCGGAUCUCUGGGCCGUAACUGACGCUGAGGAGCGAAAGCGUGGGGAGCGAACAGG